rnacentral:misc_RNA from 1 species
AACAAGGCGUACCUGCGGACCUGCGGAGGGAUCAUUACAGAGUUCGUGCCCUCGCGGGUAGAUCUCCCACCCUUGUGUAUUCUCUACAUCUUGUUGCUUUGGCAGGCCGUUGGUUCGCCAACCACCGGCUCGCGGGCUGGUGCGUGCCUGCCAGAGGACCUCUCAAACUCGGUUUGUCAGUGUCGUCUGAGUACCAUAACAAUCGUUAAAACUUUCAACAACGGAUCUCAGAUCGGAAGA